AAUCAGGUGGGACUACCCGCUGAACUUAAGCAUAUCAAUAAGCGGAGGAAAAGAAAAUAACUAUGAUUCCCUUAGUAACGGCGAGUGAACAGGGAAAAGC
rnacentral:rRNA from 1 species